rnacentral:lncRNA from 1 species
CCCCAACAACCAGCAGCGCAACCUGGUCAGGUCCCCUUCCACACUGUGAAAGUUUUGUUCUUUUGCUCUUCACAAUAGAUCUUGCUGCUGCUCACUCUUUGAGACUGCGCUGCCUUUAAAAGCUAUAACACUCACUGCAAAGUUCUACAGCUUCACUCCCGAAGUCAGCGUAGAACACGAACCCACCAGAAGGAAGAAACUUCAGACACGUCCGAACAGCAGAAGGAACAAACUCUGGACACACCAUCUUUAAGAAAUGUAACACCGCGAGGGUCUGCAGCUUCAUUCUUGAAGUUAGGGAGACCAAGAACCUACCAAUUCUGGACACACUGGGAUUACAGGCAUGAGCCACUGUGCCUGGCUAAGAGAUCCUCAUUUUUACAAAAAAAUGAAAAAAUGAGUUGUAUGUGGCAGCACAUGCCUGUAGUCCUAGCUACUCAGGAGGCUGAGGUGGGAGGAUUGUUUGAGCCCAGGCUGCAGUGAGCUAUGAACGUGACACUGCACUCCAGUCUGGGUGACAGAAAGCGAUCAUCUAAAAGAAGAAAUAGAGAAGCAGUGUAGUUGUGAGAAAAUUGUGUGACCUUGAACAAGUACCUUAACCUUAUCAGGUCUCUAUAAAAUAGGAAAAAUAUCACCUACCUGAUGGGCUUGCUAUGACGAGUAAAGGAAUUAUAUUGGUAUCAAUACAGUGUCUGGCGUAAUGCUAGCAUAUGCUGUAGGAAUGCCAGAGACAUGGUAAUUACCAUUAUUAUUGAGUUAUUGGAGUUUUGGUGUUUAAGAAAGGGUUGUUGCUUUGACUAAAAGCAUUGCUCCACUCACUGUAAGAUCAGGGAAGUCAGAAAAUCACCAUUAUCUGAGCAGGUAGUUUCCUUGUGAAGCAAAAAAUUGCAGAAGCUGCUCCAGAGCGUAGGGCAGGAUUCCACUGGACACUUGUCAGGGAGAAAUAUGAGUCCCCAGCUGAUGGAGAACCUUUUGUCUUUUGUUGGGCAGCCUAUGAACACUGUAUAUUUAAAAACAAACACUUCUGUGAUUGCUUAGGACUAAAUUUAAUCGUUGUAUUUG